rnacentral:misc_RNA from 1 species
AACGCACAUUGCGCCUUCUGGUAUUCCGGGAGGCAUGCCUGUUCGAGCGUCAUCAAAACCUUCAAUCUCAGAUUUUUAUCGUCAUAGAUUGGUCUUGCCUUGGAGGCGUCAGCUUCCUCUGCGAAAUUCAAUGGCGAAAAGCCACGCAACCAAAGCGUAGUAAAUUUUAUCUCGCGAUGGGAACGUGAGCGCUUCAGCCUCUAACCCCCACUUCAAGUUUUGACCUCGGAUCAGGUAGGGAUACCCGCUGAACUUAA